GGGCGGGCGGACCUCAAGGUGAGAGCUGCUGUCUAUUCCUCCCUGCAGUGAGUGCCUUCUGAGUCUUCUCUUGCAAAAGGGGCUUUAGAAGAGCACCCUGACCGUCGCCUCUGGCAGCUGGUGCAGGAAGCAUUUCACCUCUUGCCUCGCCAUGCCUGCCCUGGGAACUGCUGCCACGCUGCAUCUCUUGGGCCUUCCCCUCGCUCUGGCUUCCCACAGCAGCUGGCUUGGCCAGAAGGGACCAGUGCCUCCAGUGCCUCCCUCCCGCUGUGGCUUUUGGCUCCUCGCUCUGCCUGGCUGCACCUUGUGGGGCUAUGGGGGUGAUGUUCUGGAGAGGAGACAAUAAAACAUCACCGUUGAAAUGAGCACCGGAACACAUUUGCCACGUGGGCGCUGCUUUGCCUGAUCCUGCCCAGCCCCAGCCCUGGCUCGUGCUGGGCCAACUUGGGUUUCUUUUGUGAUCAGACGCUGCGAUUCCAGACUGGGAACUUUCAAUAACGGAAGUGGAAGUGCAAAGCCCCACAGGUUAGAUGAAUCACGCUUCGUGGCUGAGCGGAGGAGAGAGAGCUGCCUCAUCUCUGGAGGUGGCGCUGGCCCCAGGAAUGGGGGCCCUGGAAGCCGGUGGCUCACAUUGCUGGUGCUCCUCUCAUCCCCAUCACAGCAGCCCCCCGCCUCGUACCCCCGGCGCUCUGUGUGCCGUGGUGCCAUGAGCCCCCAGCUCCCAGCACCAUGCCUGUACACCCAGAGGUGGGGAAAUGCUGUCACCUCUACUAGGGAGACCAAGGCAAGGGUGGGCAGCGUGGGAUGUCUCUGGGACUCAUCAUUUUUCUAAGAGCAAAUUCAGCUUUUUCAGACUAAAACAAAUGUCUGCUAGUCUGCAUGUGCGUGCUCGCUGCUUAGCCUUCCCGUGCUCCCCGGCUGGAGCUGCUCGCAGUAAAUGCGGCCAAGCCCUGCUUACUAUGCAUCUAUAAUGAGGGCGCAGAGUUGAUGGAUGCUUGCUGAGCCGUCCUUCCCCGAAACGGAGGCCACAGGGAAAACAGAGCAAAGUAGGAGGAAAAUCUGCUGGAAUCUAAUUGUGGAGGCGGGGGAGAUACAAAGGGAGAGGCAAGAAUUGAUAGCUGUCUGGUCUGGUGCACCUUUGAG